UUAUAUGAUGAUUAGAUUUUGUAACAGUUAUCCCUGUCAUAAAGACAUGCUUGAUGAUAAAGUUUACUCUGAAGAA